ACUUGGCUCUCGCCCUCCGGCCGGGAAGCAUGGGGCUUCCCAGGCUGGUCUGCGCCUUCUUGCUCGCCGCCUGCUGCUGCUGUCCUCGCGUCGCGGGUCCACAAGGAGAAGCGGACGCUCAUCUUCCGUGUGCGCCAGGGCCAGGGCCAGAGCGAACCUGGGGAGUACGAGCAGCGGCUCAGCCUCCAGGACAGAGGGGCUACUCUGGCCCUGACUCAAGUCACCCCCCAAGACGAGCGCAUCUUCUUGUGCCAGGGCAAGCGCCCUCGGUCCCAGGAGUACCGCAUCCAGCUCCGCGUCUACAAAGCUCCGGAGGAGCCAAACAUCCAGGUCAACCCCCUGGGCAUCCCUGUGAACAGUAAGGAGCCUGAGGAGGUCGCUACCUGUGUAGGGAGGAACGGGUACCCCAUUCCUCAAGUCAUCUGGUACAAGAAUGGCCGGCCUCUGAAGGAGGAGAAGAACCGGGUCCACAUUCAGUCGUCCCAGACUGUGGAGUCGAGUGGUUUGUACACCUUGCAGAGUAUUCUGAAGGCACAGCUGG
rnacentral:sRNA from 1 species